rnacentral:rRNA from 1 species
AGUGAACGCUGGCGGUAGGCCUAACACAUGCAAGUCGAACGGCAGCACAGUAAGAGCUUGCUCUUACGGGUGGCGAGUGGCGGACGGGUGAGGAAUACAUCGGAAUCUACUUUUUCGUGGGGGAUAACGUAGGGAAACUUACGCUAAUACCGCAUACGACCUACGGGUGAAAGCAGGGGAUCUUCGGACCUUGCGCGAUUGAAUGAGCCGAUGUCGGAUUAGCUAGUUGGCGGGGUAAAGGCCCACCAAGGCGACGAUCCGUAGCUGGUCUGAGAGGAUGAUCAGCCACACUGGAACUGAGACACGGUCCAGACUCCUACGGGAGGCAGCAGUGGGGAAUAUUGGACAAUGGGCGCAAGCCUGAUCCAGCCAUACCGCGUGGGUGAAGAAGGCCUUCGGGUUGUAAAGCCCUUUUGUUGGGAAAGAAAAGCAGCAGGUUAAUACCCCGCUGUUCUGACGGUACCCAAAGAAUAAGCACCGACUAACCUCGUG